GUGGAUAUAGCUCACUAGCAGAGCACAUGCUUAGCAUGCAUGAGGUCCUGGGUUCAAUCCCUGUUACCUCC
rnacentral:tRNA from 1 species